AAGCCUUGUUGUCUUGGAAAAAAAAAAUGGAACGAUACAGAGAAGAUUAGCAUGGCCCCUGCGCAAGGAUGACACACAAAUUCGUGAAGCGCUCCAUAUUUAA